rnacentral:rRNA from 1 species
GCCAUGCAUGUGCCAGUUCAUACUAUUGAUAGUGAGACUGCGGAAGGCUCAGUAAAUCAGUUAUAAUCUAUUCGAAAGUAGAAGGGAUUGGAUAACCGUGGGAAAUCUAGAGCUAAUACAUGUAGAGAAUACAACGCGUGCUCUGUGCGCGUUGUGUGCAUUUAUUGGAUAAAACCAGAUGCUGCUCNGCUGGACCUUGGUUCGGCGGGGUAGGUAAGGUGAUUCUAGAUAACUGAUCAGAUCACAUGACGUAAGUCGGCGACAUUUCUAUUGAAUUUCUGCCCUAUCAACUUGAUGGUNAGGUAGUGGUUGCNACGGGUAACGGGGGAUCAGGGUUCGAUUCCGGAGAGGGAGCCUGAGAAACGGCUACCACAUCCAAGGAAGGCAGCAGGCGCGAAAAUUACCCAAUCCAGACGAUGGGAGGUGGUGACCAGAAGUACUAGGUGGUAUAUAAUAUAUACCGACCUUGGAAUGAGCUUAAAGUANAAAAGUUAGUCGAGUAACUACUGGAGGGCAAGUCUGGUGCCAGCAGCCGCGGUAAUUCCAGCUCCAGUAGCGUGUCGUAAAGUUGUUGCGUUUAAAACGCUCGUAGUUGGAUAAUUGAGUGUAUACUAGUUGAUUUACUGUUUUGACCAUGACAUCUGUUGUGUGGCGUUAUGCUGUGUGAUGGGUGUGGGUGUAGAAUGGUGGGUUUUAGGCUAGUGUGCGCUUGUUACGUGUAAGGAUGGUGGUUGACCUUGAGUGCGUCGAUCGCUAUGUCUUGCAGAGUGNUGCCUUGNAAUAAAUCAGAGUGCUCAAAGCAGGUGUUAGCCUGAAUGAUACANGCAUGGAACGAACAAUAGUGUAGGUAUGCAUGGGGAGUCCGAUUGGAUGUCGCUGUGCAUGCAUCACCAACCACCUGUAUGGAUGUUGGUUUCCGUGGCAGGGGUGAAGAUUAAAACGAGCGAUUGGGGGCAUUGGUAUUUGGCNCGCGAGAGGUGAAAUUCUUAGACCGGCCAAGGACUAACAAAAGCGAAGGCAUUUGCCAAGAUCGUCUCGAUUGAUCAAGAACGAAAGGGAAAGGUUCGACGGAGAUUAGAGACCUCUUUAGUUUUCCCUGUAAACUAUGCCGACCCGGGAUCAGUUUUAAGCUAGUAACUACGCUUGAGGUUGGUCCCCCUGGGAAACCUAAAGUGUUUGGGUUACGGGGGGAGUAUGGUCGCAAGGCUGAAACUUAAAGGAAUUGACGGAAGGGCACCACCAGGGGUGGAGCCUGCGGCUUAAUUUGACUCAACACGGGAAAACUUACCAGGUCAGAAUGCCGGGAUGAUAGACAGACUGCAGAUCUUUCUUGAUUCGGUAACAANGUGGUGCAUGGCCGUUCUUAGUUCGUGGAGUGAUUUGUCGGGUCAAUUCCGAUAACGUGACGAGACCUAAGCCUCCGUUUACGGUGCGAUGCGNGCGNACUUGGUGCGCGCAAUUGGCGAGCGUAGUGGCUGUGAUGUGUUUGUUGGAG